GGCAUGUCCUCACCCAAACAGUCUCCUUAAGGGGUCACUUGUUUUUCUUAAAGGGUUUCGGAUGAAAUCCUAGCGCCGCCACCGUGUCCUUUCUCUCUCCUGCAUCAUCCUCGCCAUAUUUGGCAAAGUAGCAGGUGUACAACACUUUUUUCAAGCCUUUCAUGGCCAAAUCGAGCAAGCAUUUAAUGCUUCAUCUCAAAAUUCACCAAACACGACUUUAGAAAGGUAUAAUCCUUCCUUUUUCUUCACUUUUCUGCAUUUUUCAACAUAUAGAACUGAAAGGCUUUAAUUGGUUUUGUUUGUUUGUGAUUUGAAUUUGGGGAUUUCUAUUGGCUCAUGAGGAACCCAGGAGAUGGACCCGUUCUGUGUCAAAUCUGACCCUCCAUGCAUUUACAUUCUUGAAUCUCUACUUUUGAUUGUGAUUUAGAAGGCAUUCCCUUGAAGAUUUGCAAAGUCCCACAUCGAGUUUGAGGUUGGUGUUAUUUAGAUCUGGGGUUUCUAUAUAAGACGUUUCAUUUCACAUUAUAAAAAGGGGAGAUUUUGGGAGGCAAUUUGAAAAAUUAUAUCAUCUUGCAUAUAAAAUCGAAAUAGCUAGGGUUUUGGCAAGUUUGCUUGGAAACCUUGAUCUUUUCGAUUUAGUUAAAAAAUUUAAAUAGUUGUGCUUGUUGUGAGGCUGAGGUCAAAAGAGAAUUGUCUUCAAGUUUAAUCUUGGCUAGGCUACGCAUCAAAGAGGUGACCUUUCUUUUCCCUUAGUUAUUUUUAGUUUAUUUUCAGUCAUUUAUAUGUUCUAAUGCUUGUAUGGCUUGAUGUUUGGGUUAUUUGUGAUGUCUUUAGUCUUAUAAAUGCUAGUUUUGUUUUAGUUUAAUCUUGUAUUACUUGGUUCUGUCGUUGUUUAGCCUUAUGUACACUUGGAAGAUUAGUUAUGUAGAUUUUAAGAACUCAUCUAUAUAUCCUUUGAUUAAGUUAAGAAUUAGUUUUAGGUAAAUAACUUGUUAGUCAUGUGAAUAUGUGUUUUAUUCUUCAUGAUUAGUGUCUUGAGUUUUUCUUGUUGAGCUAUGCUUUUUCUGGUUAUGAUAGCUUGAAGUCUAACCUAUGUAUUCAAGGAUUAAUUAGUUAUGAGUCCUUCUAAUAUGGAAACUCGUAAGUUUAGUUAUAUUCGUUUAACCUUGAUUAGUCAUAUGUUAUAAAGCUUGGGGUCUAUUUGCCCAUGUUUGCAUUUACCUUUGUUCAUGUCCAUACAUUGUUAUAAGUUCAUUAGGUAUAAGUGUUUGGAUAAUGAACAUGCUAACUAAUUAGUAUGCUCCUAUGUUCAAAAGGUAAUGACUGGGUUUAUAGCUUUCUUGUUUAUUUUGGGGGAAUAGGUCUACUCUAGGUGUGAACCAUUUAUAAUAUCUGGGGUAUUUGACUAGGUUUCAGUCAUCCACAUUUUGGAUAAAGUAGUGUGACAUGAUUAGUCUAUUAGUAUCUUGAUCUAUGAAUCCUAUUUGCUUUAAUAUGAUUGAUGAGUUGUUUGAGAAUGUUUUUGGUAAUGUUGGACCCUGUCAUUUAUUAAAUUAGGAGCCUGGAAAAGGCAUGCUAAUCUGAAUCUAAGAAGAUCUAAGGGGUAUUAUUAGUCCUUUUCAGUCUAUACAUAUUAUUUCCUUUUGUAAUUGAGUGACAUGAUGGAUGUUUUGUGACUCUGGGGUGUAUUUGAUUACAAAUCCCUCAUUUUAAAGAAUCAGUUUAAUACUGUCACAUAAUAUUCUAAUGAGAAUAAGGUUUAGUACUUAACUAAGUGAUUAGGAAAAGGCAAUAGGUAAGUUUAAACAUCUGAUAGUUUUAAAACUAUUUGGUCACAAUAUGCUUGUAAAGUUCAUCAUCCUUGCUUCGUUUCAUUUUUUUAAAUGAGCCGUCGGAUGAUGCAGCCUUGUCGACUUCUAUUCUUUUGUGUACAGUAUAUGUAGCAGCCUAGCCGACUAGCACUGUUCUUCCGCAUGUUUGUUGUGUAUAUAUAUAUAUAUGCACAUUGUAAGGAGUUCUGUUGUUUCCUUUUUAUGAGAUUAGUUGUGCCAUUUAUGGGCCUUUGAUGUUCAGUAUUUCUCAGAUAAGUAUUUAGGGGUGUUUGGUCACUAGAAGUCAGACUCCUGUCACGGCUCAUCGGUUUGGGUCGUGACACUUGGGAGACUACAGCUGGAGCGAUGCUGUUUUGGCGUACCUCUACCGAUGCCUAUGCCGAGCGUCUAUUGGCCAUAUCGGCGAUGUGUGUGAAUUUUUUACUCCUCUCCAGUUAUGGGCGUGGGAGAGGAUGCCGCCUUUUCAGCUUGUACCUAGGCAUCACCUCGAUAAUGAUAUGCCCUACCCGAUGAGGUGGACGGCAGGAUUUGAUCGGGAUGUGGAUAUGCACCACAGUAUUCUUCCAUUCGGGGACCAGCUUUGAGAUGAUGGAUGAUGCGGCAAAACUAUUUAACUUUACACUAUUAAUUUAAUUAAACUUGUUUUCCACUUGGUCAUCACUAAUUGUAUCUAUAUUUUAUACAAUUAUUUAUAUGGACAUCGUAUGCUCAUAUUUAGGAUGGGUUGCCAGCCAUUUGCAGGGCUGGUCAGCCCGUGUGGAGGUCGCGGUGUCCAUUGAUACACCUAGACAUCGUUGAGGACCACAUGCCCGAGCGCAUCUUACAAUAGUUGGGCAUACACAAAAUUUACCCCGACGUUCGUCAUGAGCUCUGACACUACCAGUUGGAUGAUCGAGCAGCCAUCGAUGAUGCAUUUUUUACUUUCAUGGGUGUCUAGCUCCAGCAUUGGCAGGACAGGUUGGAGGCUUUAGCGGAGGCCGAUCAUGCAACUCCCAUCAUUGAUUACAUGCACUAGUAUCAUGGGAUCACACGCUGAUUAAUUGGCGACCCAGCUUUAUGUCCUGCAAGGGGUGUAGGAUACGCAGCACUCGCGGGGUAGUAUGAGGCGUUACUGGUGACUGUACAACCAGUGCGCAUAUUGUGGUCAGAGCAUAUGUCUAACACUAAGGUUGCGGGGCUUGCUGCGGAGAUGGUACAGAUAUCUGAGGACGGUAGCUGACAGGCAGGAGAGAUUAGGCGCAUGGACGAUCUUGUUCCAGAGGGUGAGUAUCAAGCGGCACGAGAAGGAGGACGUCGUGGUAGAGGAUGGACCAUCACCUACGUUUACGCCAGCGUGCCUACUUCUGGAGGUACCUGAGUCUUCAUCUCAGCUGAGCCAGAAUGUGUACAUCGAGGAACGUGAUGACAUUGAUUGGGUGGCACUUCACGCAUCAUUAGAGGAUGCGGCCAAUAAGAAAUUUAGACGGUCCCAGGAUUCUUGAGUUCGAUGAGUUUUUAAUCCCGGAUUCGGCGCUAGUGGGUCCGCCAGAGCGAUCCACUCAAGCGUUUUGUCAUGGUCCUGCCGAGCCACAGGUGUCUUAUCAUGAGACUGUCGAGCCACAAAUAAGACUUUUAGUAAAACUUAAUUUUAUUCAAUAUAAGGUGAAUAUUACUUUAAGUUUUUUAACCUUUAUUUGGACCUCGAACAGCACACCGCUCCAGCUUCAGCCUCUCAAUAUCUCUUCCAUGAGACUAAUUCAUAUUCUACACCGGACCUAUCUCAGGAGCCCACUCAUGAGCCUACUGAGGCACCCGUCGAUACACAGGUUCAUCCUUCGGCGCCUGCGGUGGCAACUCCCGAUGCGGAUGAGGUUUCGUCUCCAGAACCAAAUUAGCCUGAGAUUUCGAACGUACCAGUGGCACUAGAUCCCAAGAAUAAGCACGUUAUGUAGAAGGGCGCAAGGGCGAGGGAUGAUCAUGGCUUAGAGCGCCCUCUUUUUUAGAGGAAAAAGGGAGAUGGAGACGAUGACGAGGGCGGUGGAGAUGGUAUGAGCCUUAGGCCUAAGGAUAGUCUCAGGCAGACCACAUGUGAAACCCAUCCACGAUAGUGGAUAUACAAUUAAGUUGCACAGUUUAAGUAAAUAUUGUAUAUUUUUUGCGCAUCUAUUUAUAUUUAUAAAUAUUAUCUUAGUCUUUAUUAUC